rnacentral:sRNA from 1 species
ACGCGAGGGGGCGGGGCUGCCACGGGCGGAGGUCGCAGCCGGAAGCGGAAGAGGCGCUCGGAGCGGGGAGUGGGGCCUAGCUGCAGCCGGAGCCUGGGAGACGAUGCAUCACUGUAAGCGAUACCGCUCCCCUGAACCAGACCCGUACCUGAGCUACCGAUGGAAGAGGAGGAGGUCCUACAGUCGGGAACAUGAAGGGAGACUGCGAUACCCGUCCCGAAGGGAGCCUCCCCCACGAAGAUCUCGGUCCAGAAGCCAUGACCGCCUGCCCUACCAGAGGAGGUACCGGGAGCGCCGUGACAGCGAUACAUACCGGUGUGAAGAGCGGAGCCCAUCCUUUGGAGAGGACUACUAUGGAUCUUCACGUUCUCGUCAUCGUCGGCGAUCGCGGGAGAGGGGGCCAUACCGGACCCGCAAGCAUGCCCACCACUGCCACAAACGCCGCACCAGGUCUUGUAGCAGCGCCUCCUCGGUGAGUGGUAGCCAGAGUGUGCUGGCUGGGGCUUAAAGGCCUCAUCUCUUCCUAGCCUUCUCUCAGGCUGGCUGGUCCGGGUGAGUACUGCCAGCCCUGUGCACGUGCACUGGUGUGCGUGCAUGUGUGUGUGUAUGUGUUGUCUGGUCCAGGUGUAGGGCUGAUCACAGGGUCCUGGCCCCUGUGUCUUCUGGCCCUUUCCAGUGGCAACUGUAGGAACUCUGGCUCCGAUGCUGGCUGGCCCCUGGCCUGUCUAUGUCUACACAGUGCUCCAGACAAAGGCCACGUGGUGCAAGUGGCUGGGGACACUUCUUAGGACACUUCUUAGGGAUCCUAGUAGAGUGGCUGGUAUGGUGGUCUGCAGCUAUAUGGCCUGGUCCUUCCCACCCAGAGACUGCCUCCUCGUGUAACUGAGUGCUCUGAUGUGGACUGCACCCACCUCUGCGUCUCAUCUGCACACCCCUUCCCAAAGGCCCCCAGUCUGGAGUGCCUCACAGGAUGGGAGGAUUUGCCUGUCAGCCAGCUCAGACUGGGAACUUCCCUUCUAAUCUCCAGCCAGGCCCUCUCCAGCCGAGCCUCUUUACGAGGGGCAGUCGCGGUGAGGAGGGGCAGGUGCCUGUGUGAUGGGGCAUGUGAAGAAAUGGCAGAAAGGCUGCCGCCCCAGGCCUCGUCCAGUUGCAGGCCACAUGCCCAGAGCAGGGCCUGGCCAGUAUUCCUAGCAUGGAGGGUUGUAAGGUCUCUGGAGCCCACAUUGCGCUCAGUCCCCUGGGGAAGCAAAGCCAGUUGUGUAUUUCCGAGGUUACGUGCGGUCUUCUCUUCUCCCCCAUCCCUCUUCCCUGCCUCCCUCCUGCCGGCCUUGAGGCCCCUGAGGAGCAGUGGAGAGGCCAGGUGUCUUCUCUGCCCAGCGCUUUCUGUGACUUCUUCGAGUGGCUACAGGUUGAGGGUUGACUGUGCGGGCGAUUGCAGCGUGGCCCUUUCACCUCUUUGCACACUGCCACAUGCUGCCACAGGAUGGCAGUGCAGGUCUGGCUCUGUUUCUCUGUUUGGUGCCCUCUAUCGAUCGUCGUGAGGCUUGGGAUGGGCCUAGAUUGUGAGCAGCAUGGGUGCCAAGGCCAGGGCAGGAGCUGGCAUGGGGCCUGUGUGGGCCAUUGUGGUAGGAAGCCUGGCAGUCGACCGGCCCAGAGGAUCCCAGGCUGCUUUCCUUCUUGAGGCUGGUGGCAGGAGGGCUGCUGACGGAAGGCUGUUUCUGGUAGUGAUGGUGAAAUCUGACCAAGGAUGCCGUCUGGAGGCAGGUAGCAGCUUGGCUCUGAGUGGCAGCUGUCAGGCAUGUGCAAGUCUGCGUGGGCAAACAGAGGCAGGCAAGGACAGGCUGGGCAUUCUGCAGCUGAAGCCGGAGCAGCCGCUGACCAGUCUGGAUGGUUGGACCCAGGCAGGGCCAGCUGCCUUCUUGCGCCGCCGUUCUCACUGCAUCUUCCGCUCUGGCCCAAAGCCACAUGGGAGGGUCUGGGAGGGAGAGACUCGGAGGAGGAGGAGGAGGAGGGAGUCGGGGCGAUGGCUCUCCUCACAGCGUGGCCCUCAGCAGCAGAGGCAGGUCAUCUUCCUGAGCGUUUGUGGCGCUCCUCUUAAAGAUAAUGUCCGAGUUUUCUUUACAUACCUGUAGCUGUUUUUACUUUUCUGUUUUUGAAGUCAGUUUGUGUCUUGACGUGUCCCUUGCAAUAUCCCUAUCGUUAUAUAUGCUGUGUGCCUUAUGAAAUGCUGGGAUCUGGAAAAUCCAACCAACCAACCCACCGGCUCCUCACCGUCUCCACCUCUGCCUUUGACUGACACCUCAAUCUGUCAAUCGGAACCGCCUACCAUGCGAUUGGUCGGAUGGCGUUUCGGGGGGCGGUGCAUGCAGAGAAGCCAACAGAGCAGUAAGCGCAGCAGCCGGAGUGUGGAAGAUGACAAGGAGGGUCACCUGGUGUGCCGGAUCGGCGAUUGGCUCCAAGAGCGAUAUGAGAUUGUGGGGAACCUGGGUGAAGGCACCUUUGGCAAGGUGGUGGAGUGCUUGGACCAUGCCAGAGGGAAGUCUCAGGUUGCUCUGAAGAUCAUCCGCAACGUGGGCAAGUACCGGGAGGCUGCCCGGCUAGAAAUCAACGUGCUCAAAAAAAUCAAGGAGAAGGACAAAGAAAACAAGUUCCUGUGUGUCUUGAUGUCUGACUGGUUCAACUUCCACGGUCACAUGUGCAUCGCCUUUGAGCUCCUGGGCAAGAACACCUUUGAGUUCCUGAAGGAGAAUAACUUCCAGCCUUACCCCCUACCACAUGUCCGGCACAUGGCCUACCAGCUCUGCCACGCCCUUAGAUUUCUGCAUGAGAAUCAGCUGACCCAUACAGACUUGAAACCAGAGAACAUCCUGUUUGUGAAUUCUGAGUUUGAAACCCUCUACAAUGAGCACAAGAGCUGUGAGGAGAAGUCAGUGAAGAACACCAGCAUCCGAGUGGCUGACUUUGGCAGUGCCACAUUUGACCAUGAGCACCACACAACCAUUGUGGCCACCCGUCACUAUCGCCCGCCUGAGGUGAUCCUUGAGCUGGGCUGGGCACAGCCCUGUGACGUCUGGAGCAUUGGCUGCAUUCUCUUUGAGUACUACCGGGGCUUCACACUCUUCCAGACCCACGAAAACCGAGAGCACCUGGUGAUGAUGGAGAAGAUCCUAGGGCCCAUCCCAUCACACAUGAUCCACCGUACCAGGAAGCAGAAAUAUUUCUACAAAGGGGGCCUAGUUUGGGAUGAGAACAGCUCUGACGGCCGGUAUGUGAAGGAGAACUGCAAACCUCUGAAGAGUUACAUGCUCCAAGACUCCCUGGAGCACGUGCAGCUGUUUGACCUGAUGAGGAGGAUGUUAGAAUUUGACCCUGCCCAGCGCAUCACACUGGCCGAGGCCCUGCUGCACCCCUUCUUUGCUGGCCUGACCCCUGAGGAGCGGUCCUUCCACACCAGCCGCAACCCAAGCAGAUGACAGGCACAGGCCACCGCAUGAGGAGAUGGAGGGCGGGACUGGGCCGCCCAGCCCCUUGACUCCAGCCUCGACCACCAGGCCCCAGGCCAGAGCCACCCAAUGAACAGUGCAAUGUGAAGGAAGGCAGGAGCCUGCAGGGGAGCAGACUUGGUGCCCAGCUGCCAGAAAGCACAGAUUUGACCCAAGCUAUUUAUAUGUUAUAAAGUUAUAAUAAAGUGUUUCUUACUGUUUGUAACCCCUGGUACCAGUGUGUCCAUCUCCAGGCUCCUUGCCUUCCCCUUACCUGACCUUAUUAAUAAAGUCUUUCUUAGCAGUUC